GACGAACGCUGGCGGCGUGCUUAACACAUGCAAGUCGAGCGGUAAGGCCCUUUCGGGGGUACACGAGCGGCGAACGGGUGAGUAACACGUGGGUGACCUGCCCUUAGCUCUGGGAUAAGCCUGGGAAACUGGGUCUAAUACCGGAUAUGACUCCAUAACGCAUGUUGUGGGGUGGAAAGCCUUGUGCGGCUAGGGAUGGGCCCGCGGCCUAUCAGCUUGUUGGUGGGGUGAUGGCCACCAAGGCGACGACGGGUAGCCGGCCUGAGAGGGCGACCGGCCACACUGGGACUGAGACACGGCCCAGACUCCUACGGGAGGCAGCAGUGGGGAAUCUUGCGCAAUGGGCGAAAGCCUGACGCAGCGACGCCGCGUGGGGAUGA
rnacentral:rRNA from 1 species